rnacentral:lncRNA from 1 species
GUUGAACAUGAGUAAUUCAUGGCAGCUGAAGACCACACUUAGUUCUCCUCACAAGACACUGGGCUACUGCAGGUUCAUCGCACCCUGGGACCAGCAGCAGCAUCAGUAUGGUUCUUGUGGAAACCACAGAACCCGGAGCAGAGUGGACUCCUUUUUCCAAAGCAACAGCAAUCAGCAGCCUUGCUUCUGUCUCCUGGCUGUGUUCACAAGCCCCAAGUUGGAUGGGUUUAAACAGAGGUCUGUGGAGAAGGGGAAAGUGUUUUAUUUUGUUCUGGAAAAAAAUGUAUGAGGGCCAUUCAUACUGUCUUUAGACAUACUCACUGCAUGUUUAUCCAGGAACAGCCCAGGACAGAGAUUUUCACAUCCUAAAGAGGACAGCUUCUUUACCAUGUCUGAGCAAAAGGAAUCUGGGCUGCCACAGCCAACAGGACACCAGGCUCUCACAGCGACCAUCCCGUGACAAAGCACCCAUUACAAAUUGAUUGAUUGGCCUGGUGGGACUUCCCUCCUCAUGUGGCCCCAAAGCUGCCCAAUUCCUCCCUGCACCAAUGGGUGACUUCAUACUGCUGUUCAGACACUCAUCAGCCUUACUGCUCCUCCCACUGCACCCCAGUAAAACCUUCUGCCUCCGCUUCCCCUGCCUGGAACAUUCUGAACUCUGCCAGGUGACAUGUUAACUGCCCCUGCCUGCCUCCCCCAUUCUUCUUCUGUGACCCUGUUAUACCAUGCAAGCACCCAUCGAAUGAUUUCCAUCCAUACUGCAGCCAUGUGCUUAUCCACGUGUACCUCAGGUCCAGGGACACUUAGCUCCCUGAGGACAAAAGCCCUGUCAUUUGUCUCUUUGUCACCAGCCCCAACCAGGCAGGGGUCUGAGAGUGAAAUAAG